CCUUCACAGCUUGAAUAUAAGAAAGACAUCAUGAAAAUUUAUUGAUUCAUCGUUCACCAUUCAUUUCAACAUCAUAGAAUGAAUACCUAUAAAGUUGGACACGGGGGGUUAGGCUAACUAUUUGAAAAAUUGUACUAGGAUUAUAUGUUUUUUCAAGGAUGAAGAGUGAGAACUAAAUUAACUAAAAAAACAUGUAGCAAUAACAAAACUAUAGCAAUGGUGAGAAAUAUUGUGUUUCUCAAACGUAAGAACAAUUGCAGAGGUCCAUUUUCAAUGAUAAGUCUCUUCAGAAGAAUACUAGGAUGACAAGAUUAGUCAUCUAUUCAUUGUAGAGUUCAGUUAUUAAAAUGCUAUAACAAGUGCAAAUAAAACAGACAAGUUAGGUGUAUAAUGAUACUCGAUUUCAAUAAGUUAAAUACUUUAUUGUAAGCUUUAGAUGAUACCCCAGUUACAAACUGUAUUCUGAACUCAUCUUGAUGUUAAUCAGUAAUGCAAUAAAAUAGAUGAUUACCACAAGAGAACACCAUAUAUAAUCAAUCAUCAAAAUAAAGUAACUAAAUUAAUUUCAGUAGUUACGUACUUAGAAAUAAAUAAACAAAGCCAGGACUAUACCUACUUUCAAGCACUAAACUUCUUCAAUUUGGGCCCAAAUUAAAACCAACCAGCUUUACCAUCAAAUCCACACCUCACUGGACCAAAUUUCACCAAAGUCCAAAUCUUGAAACCUAUAAAACAUAGUAAUAGGUAACAGAGAUAAUGAAAGAAGUUAGAAAUUAUGUGUACUAAACAAUUUUUCAAAAUAACCGCAAGUAAAUGAUUCAAGGAACUCAUGUUUUUUUUGCUAAAGAUUCAACUAUGCAAAAGGCUACUGACUAGAGAGAUAAGAAAAGAGAUUAACUGAAAAGAUCUUCUUUUCCUCUUUUUGACUCUGGAUUUAAAAAAAAUUGGCAAUCUCCUACUUCUUGAGGAUUCUCAUUCAUUAGCACAAAAACACAAGUCUUCAUCCUUGCAUUCGAAAGAACAUAUCAGAAGAGACAUAUAUUUUCAAAAUUUCUUUGCUUACACGAUUUAAGAAUUUACAGGAGAUAUUUUCAUUCUGGUAUCCUCUGCCUCCAAGACACUUUUUUGAAUCUAACCCUAGCCGCCAUCCUCAUACCAAACUCCAUCUU
rnacentral:lncRNA from 1 species